rnacentral:lncRNA from 1 species
UCUAUUGACUUAGCUCUACCCAAUCGUUCAAUGAAUAUGCAAGAGUUAGACUGCCGCAAUUCCUCACCUUUUACGACUCAAAAUCCAUAUAUUAUUUCAAUCAGUGGAUUAUGCAAAAAAAAUAAAAAACAAAUAAAGAACGUUGCUUUACAGAAAGUCUAAAACAACCUUCUUUCUUAAGACAAAUAAGUGAAUCCAAACUGGUGAAGAUGUGCACGAAAGAGGGCAAAAUAUAUUACCUGGAGAAAGAACGCUGAGAAAGGGCCGAAUUCUGAUCGAUCGAUGCGAGCACAGGGACUUUGCUGGUUUACUUUUGCGAGAAUUGUAGUUGCACCAUAUAGAACUUCUUUCCUUAGGUUUUUUGAUUUGGAAGAAUUGUAGUUGAAAAAGAGAUCUUUUUACCUUAUUGAAACAAAAUUGUAGGGUUUUUUUUGGUUCCUGCCUUAUGGGUUUCGCGGGAAACACAUUUUGCGUUUUCCCCCUCUGUUUUCCGUCGUUUUCCUCCUCUGUUUUC